rnacentral:rRNA from 1 species
AUUGAACGCUGGCGGCAGGCCUAACACAUGCAAGUCGAACGAGUGGCGGACGGGUGAGUAAUGUCUGGGAAACUGCCUGAUGGAGGGGGAUAACUACUGGAAACGGUAGCUAAUACCGCAUACCAUCGGAUGUGCCCAGAUGGGAUGAGAUAGUAGGUGGGGUAAAGGCUCACCUAGGCGACGAUCCCUAGCUGGUCUGAGAGGAUGACCAGCCACACGGGAACGUAGACACGGCCCAGACUCCUACGGGAGGCAGCAGUGGGGAAUAUUGCGCAAUGGGCGCAAGCCUGAUGCAGCCAUGCCGCGUGAAUGAAGAAGGUCUUCGGUUUGUAAAGUACUUUCAGCGGGGAGGCGUUACCCGCAGAAGAAGCACCGGCUAACUCCGUGCCAGCAGCCGCGGUAAUUC